rnacentral:lncRNA from 1 species
UAGGACAGUCUGACAGAGUGACAGUCAGAACAGAGACCUGCUAGGACAGUCUGACAGAGUGACAGUCAGAACAGAGUCCUGCUAGGACAGUCUGACAGAGUGACAGACAGAACAGAGACCUAAUAGGACAGUCUAACACAGUAACAGCUGGCGACAAUUUACAACAAAUAACUCAAUGAGAACAAGUGACACAGGGUGAGAUGAAAGCCCACAACUGGCAAAAUCAUCCAAUGAGAGCCCAGAACUGCAAAACGUAUCCAAUCACAACACAGCUGUGAAACACGGAGACGUGAACUCAGUCCUGUAGUAAAUGCUGGUGGUGAGUGAUUGAUUCAUUUUUACAAAUGUAAUACCCUGUGUUGAAAUACAUUACAUUCACUUCAAUGGGUUUGAAAUUCAUUUCAAUGUGUGUAUACAUUUCAUUUAUUUACAUAUACACUGAGUGUACAAAACAUUAUGAGUGUACAAAAACACCUGUUCUUUCCAUUACGUUUUACUUUUAUUUAACUAGGCAAGUCAGUUAAGAACAAAUUCUUAUUUUCAAUGACGGCCUAGGAACAGUGGGUUAACUGCCUUGUUCAGGGGCAGAACGACAGAUUUGUACCUUGUCAGCUCAGGGAUUCGAUCUUGCAACCUUUUGGUUACUAGUCCAACGCUCUAACCACUAGGCUACCUGCCACCCCUAGACUGACCAGGUGAAAGCUAUUAUCCCUUAUUGAUGUCACUUGUUAAAUCCAUUUCAAUCAGUGAAGGACAGGUUAAAGAAGGAUUUUUAAGACUUGAGACAAUUGAGACAUGGAUUGUGUAUGUGGGACAUUCAGAGGGUGAGUGGGCAAGAAAAAUGUGUCUUUGAACAGGGUAUGGUAGUAGGUGCUGGGCGCACCGUUGUGUCAAGAACUGCAACGUUGCUGGGUUUUUCACGCUCAACAGUUUCCCGUGUGUAUCAAGAAUGGUUAACCAACCAAAGGACAUCCAGCUGACUUGACACAACUGCAUCCCCGUGGAACGCUUUCAACACCUUGUAGAGUCCAUACCCCGACAAAUUGAGGCUGUUCUGAGGGCAAAAGGGUGCAAGUCAAUAUUAGGAAGGUGUUCUUAAUGUUUUGUACACUCAUUGUAUGUCAGUCAGUUUAUGACGUUGACUCCUAUUUUCUCCCCAGUUCUCUGGUGUUUUAGUCAUCACAUUUCUCCUGUUAUUUACCCAAACCUGUCAUGAAUAGGUUAGACCAGGCCUGUCAUGAAUAGGUUAGACCUGGCCUGUCAUGAAUAUGUUAGACCUGGCCUGUCAUGAAUAUGUUAGACCUGGCCUGUCAUGAAUAGGUUAGACCAGGCCUGUCAUGAAUAGGUUAGACCUGGCCUGUCAUGAAUAGUUUAGACCUGGCCUGUCAUGAAUAGGUUAGACCAGGCCUGUCAUGAAUAGGUUAGACCUGGCCUGUCAUGAAUAGGUUAGACCUGGCCUGUCAUGAAUAU